AUGCGUCCUGCUGCAGCCAGGGAGCAAGUACUAAGUAAGUCAGCACCCUGGAAAGCCCCUCCCAAGGUGAGAGGCACCCCUGCAACCCUAGGACCAGACUCACCGCCAGAGCUAAGGCUGGGGGGAGCACAGGGGCCACGGGCGGUGGGAGGACGGCAGGGGGCAGGCGCGGCCCCACCCCUUCUGCCUGGCGUCGCAGCAGCAACUCCACCUUUGCCUGCAGCUGAGCCAGCUCCUCUGCAUGCUGCCGGGCUGCCAGUGAUCCUGCAGAACAGCAGCUCGGGCACACUCGGCUGCCACCUCACUGACAAAUGGGCAAUGCUCCAUUUCCCAGUCACCCACCGACAUCAGCUCGCAUCUCCCUCCGAACCUUCAAUGCCAGGAGCUCAUCCUCGAGCCGCUGGUUCUCCAGCUCCACAGCCAUCAGUGCUGCAUCGAGGCCCUGUGCUGUCUCAACAGCAAUGGGGUCCUGUCCCUGGGCUCUGUGAUGGGGCUGGUGCUUACUCAUCUUCUGCACAGCCCUUUUCUCCAGCGCCGUGGCCUCCAGUUGGAGAUCUAGCAGCUGUGCCAGGGUGGCCUCGUCGCAGCCACCAGCACGCAGGUAGGAGAGCUGCAGCGCCCUGCCAUGAUGCUGGCAUGAGCCCUGGCAGCUGGGGCUCUGCUGUGCUCCCGCCCGCCUUCAGCUCUCACCUGGCCUCAGCCGCCAGUGGCCCGGAGGGUGGCAGGAGAGCGUUGAAGUGGAGGGCAGCCCUGGGGAGGAUAUGGGCAAACUGGGGCCCAGCGGGCAAAGGGCCCCUUUCUGGGCACCAUCCAGCAGGGCUCACCCUCGGUACUGGUGCCCAUCUCUGUCUGACUGCACCUCCGCAGCCCAGCUCAUUUCUGGUGACAGAUGCUUGUUGCGCAGCAAUGCCAGGCGCCGGCACAGCUCUGUGGGAUGCACAGCUAGGUCACUCCAGAACCACAACCAUCGCCCCACACCCUGUGCUGGUGCCUACGCUCUCUCUGCUGCUCUAG
ensembl:lncRNA